rnacentral:rRNA from 1 species
GAAAUGCGAUAAGUAAUGUGAAUUGCAGAAUUCAGUGAAUCAUCGAAUCUUUGAACGCACCUUGCGCCCUUUGGCUAUUCCGAAGGGCAUGCCUGUUUGAGUAUCAUGAACACCUCAACUCCUCGUGGUUUGCCACGAUGGGAUUGGACUUUGGGGGCUUUGCCGGCUACUGUUGCCGGCUCCUCUCAAACGAAUCAGCUUGCCAGUGUUUGGUGGCGUCACAGGUGUGAUAACUAUCUACGCUUGUGGUCUCCCCACCAGGUAACCUUCAGCAAUGGAGGUUCGCUGUGGCUCAUAAACGUCUCUCCUCUGUGAGAGACAGCUUUUUAACGUUUGAUCUCAAAUCAGGUAGGACUACCCGCUGAACUUAAGCAUAUCAAUAAGCGGAGGAAAAGAAACU